rnacentral:tRNA from 1 species
UAUUUAGUUGUCUAAAUAACUUGGUAUCGCUUUUAAAGAGCGCACCUUUCAAUUAGGACUUGAACCUAAAUAA